UCGUGUCAGACAGAUCGGGAUACUCAUCAAAUAAAAACUUGAAAACCGGGAUGCAUUCCCCUGCCAAUGGCGGGCCGCAAUAAAAGCCUCUUCACGAUGCCGGCGGAUUACAACGGCGAGGAACACCCACAACCUGUCAUAAGGGAGUUUUCAUCACAUCGCUGGCACGACCCUU
rnacentral:sRNA from 1 species